rnacentral:rRNA from 1 species
GAAUAUGUCUCGUACGUGACCUGCGGAGGGACAUUACCGAGUGUGGGGGCGGGUGGAACCUCUCCGGGUUACGGCCUUGCAGAAUUAUUCGCCCUUGUGGGUCGCGCACUUCCUGAUUCCUUGGUGGGGUCGCCCACCACUACGACAAACAUAAACCUUUUGUAAUUGCAAUCCGCGUCAUUAACAAAUUAAUAAAUACAACUUUCAACAACAGAUCUCUUGGUUCUGGGACGAUGAAGAACCAUUAGAAUGAGAUAAGUAGUGUGAAUUGUGAAUUCAGUGGAUCAUCUCUGCUUUGAACAACAUUGCCCCUUUGGUAUUCCAAGCGGCCUGCCAGUUCGGGUUGCGUGUGGGCCCUCAAGCUUUGCUUGGUGUUGAGCGUCUUGACUCUAGCUUUGCUGACCCCUCGCCUUAAACGAAUUGAAGGCCGGCCUACUGGUUUCGGAGCGCCCACAAGUCGCCUCUCUAUCCCCAAAGGUCUAGCAUCCAUUAAGCCUUUUUUUCAACUUUGGACCUCCGAUCAAGUACGGAUACUCGCUGAACUUAAGAAUAUCAAUAAGCGGAGGAAGAG